rnacentral:rRNA from 1 species
UACGGAGGUCUCAAGCGUUGUUCGGAUUCAUUGGGCGUAAAGGGUGUGUAGGUGGCGCCGUAAGUCGGGUGUGAAAUUUCGGAGCUUAACUCCGAAACUGCAUUCGAUACUGGCGUGCUUGAGGACUGGAGAGGAGACUGGAAUUCAUGGUGUAGCAGUGAAAUGCGUAGAGAUCAUGAGGAAGACCAGUGGCGAAGGCGGGUCUCUGGACAGUUCCUGACGCUGAGGCACGAAGGUCAGGGGAGCAAACGGG